UACGAAGGGUGCAAACGUUGCUCGGAAUCAUUGGGCGUAAAGCGCACGUAGGCGCCUUGCAAGUCGGAUGUGAAAUCCCACGGCUCAACCGUGGACGUGCAUCCGAAACUGCUCGGCUCGAGUAUGGAAGAGGGUCGCGGAAUUCCCGGUGUAGAGGUGAAAUUCGUAGAUAUCGGGAGGAACACCAGUGGCGAAGGCGGCUCACUGGGUCUCUUCUGACGCUGAGGAACGAAAGCUAGGGGAGCAAACGGGAGUUAGAAACCC
rnacentral:rRNA from 1 species